rnacentral:antisense_RNA from 1 species
CUAGCCGGUGGUUCAGGUGGCCGGUCGGGCUGGAAGGGCGGGGAUGAGGGAUGGGACGCAUCCCGGGGGAUGCUCCUCCAAAGCUUUUAUCGGGCGAGCGCAGUGGCUCACGCCUGUAAUUCCUGCACUUUGGGAGGCUAAGAGAUGGGGUUUCACCAUAUUGGCUAGGCUGGUCUCGAACUCCUGACCUUGUGAUCCACCUGCCUUGGCCUCCCAAAGUGCUGGGAUUACAGGAUGAAAGGCUUCCUAGCACAAACACCACCCCUGGAGUUCCCGGUACAUCAAUACCAGCCUGGGGAUCACGUUCUCAUCAAGAGUUGGAAGAGGGAAAGCUUGAGCCAGCUUAGGAGGACCUUAUCUGGUACUCUUGAUGAACGAAACAGCAAUCUGAAUGGCUGAAAAAGGAUGGACCCAGCAUUCCAGGGAGAAAACUUGGCAUUCUUUGGGAAUCUAACAGGAUGCAGUGAACCCAAGCCUUUUCAAGAGCUCACCAAUCAGACUGCCCUUGUCUAUCCAUGAGCAGAUGUUUGAUAGUAUUGCGGAGGACCUCUAGUGGGUAUGCUGCCAAGCAACUGGAG